ensembl:misc_RNA 7SK 7SK RNA
GGAUGUGAGGGUAAUCUGACUGCAACAUCUGUCACCCCACUGACCACCAGGGUUGAUUCGGCUGGUCUGGCUGGCUAGGCGGGUGUCCCCUUCUUCCUUCACCACUCCAUGUGCGUCCCUCCUGAAGCUGUGUGUUCAGUUGAAGAUGAUGGCCUUCCCCAAUAGAGAUGGACCAGUCUUCAGUUGAGGGUAUCAUGAGUAACUGCGCUCCCUGCUAGAACCUCCAAACAAGCUCUCAAGAUUAGCAGCAGAUUUCUCCACACAAACACUAAGGGCCAGAAGAGAAUGGCAAGAUAUAUAUUGAGCUCUCCAUGAAAAAGGCUUU